CAGGGAAGUCAGUGAUAAUCAUGAAUAUCAUCAGGUACACUCUGGUGGUCGUGCUGGUUCCAGUGCUGGUCUGGACUCUGUGGACGAGGAUGAAGAAAACUCUGAGCUUGAAAUCAGAAGUGAAUGAAGCUGUGGAGAUGAUAGAGUCACACAACUGUCCUGAGUAUGAGAACGUUGCUGCUGCAGCACAGACAGAAGACACAGAGGAGCAUGAAGACCUGGUGUGAAGCAUCAGGUCAGAGCCACUGGGACAAACACAACCAAGAUGGACGACUUCAGAGAACAUCCGUACAAGAGAGUUUCACAGAAACCAUCUUGUGUAGUUAUUAAAUACAGGAAGUCUGUCCAAGCAACAAAAUAUCUGAGUGCAAGCGCCCUCUGAACUAUGUUGGAGGUCUUGGUGAUGAGCCCUUGAGGCUGUGGUAACACCACGUGACUCAUCUUGUGUCUUAUGAUUUUAAUGUGUUUUUUACAUGUAUAAUGAGUUAUUAUGUAUGUAUGUAUGUAUUAUGUAUUUUGGUCUUUUGUUUUCACUCCUUAUCAACUUGUUUGUUAGUUUUUAUGCAGAAUAAACACAGAAAACUAAAAAACGAUUUUUCACACAAUUUGGGCAGGAAUCCUGAUAAAGGGGCGGAGCCAGGAGCCUGUUUGUGUCACUUUCUUUAUAAUUGUGAGACUGAUGAAAACAGUCAGGAUUAUUUAGAGGACUGUUUUCUAUGAGUGAUUGAAUUCUGAUGCAGCUUGAUUGAAUUGAGGCAGAUUGAAUUGAUGGAGGCUGGCAUGUGCUCACAUAGAAACCAAAGGGGGCUGGAGCAACUGCCCUUUUCCUUCCUCGAGAGAAAGUGGCCUUUUUAAAAUACAUGAAUAUUAUAUUCCUGUUUGCUCACAGCUUCCCUCUCAAACAAAUAUAUUGAAAAAUAACAAAAAUCAAAUUAUCAGGGGGGGAGAUUAGACUCGUCUCUGAACCCUCCCUCCCUCCACGUCUCCUGCACAGAGCUGAGCACUGGAGCUGUGAACAUUUCUCUGUUCUUAGAAGCAUCGCGACUCGGACUCUGAAUAAUUCUAACAGCGCUGCUCCAGGACAGACACUUGUUAAAGAUCCGGUCUGUGUCAGAGUCUCUGUCGGAGUCUGCUUCCUCCUCACUCCUCCUCUGACCUGCGCUCACUUUACACUUUAACAUUAAACACCAGCACUGAUCACAAGUUAUCAGGACACCUCCAGGACUGAUGUUUACUUUGUGUUGGUUUGAUUCGCUUUAGAGUUCAUGAGAUCAUGAUCCGACAUCAUCGAUCAAUAACUAAAUACAUGUGGUUAUCAGUUUGUGUGAAGAGGGACAGAGACCAUCACACGCACACACACACACACACACACACACACACACAGACACACACACACACAGAUUCCGAUGUAACACAGUGUUUUAACUUCUUUGCUGCAGAAGAAGCGACGCCCCGUUCCUCCAGGAACAUAAAUAUAAAUUCAGAAGGUUUUUAUAAAGUUCAGUUCUAAAUGUGAUGAUUAGAAAACAUCAGAGGAUCAAAGUCACUUGUUGACCUGCGGAGUAAUGGCCUCAGUGCAGUGGAGCUGCUAAGGGGGGCCAGGUGGGGCCUGGCGGGACCACCUUGAUACAGUUAAGCCAAUAAUCAGAGUUUGUCCUUUUAACCCAUAGACUCACUGUUGUAAUGGAAAUCCUUAUUUUGUAAGUUAAA